GUUUGACUAUGAUGUGCCUUGGUAUACUUCUCUUUGCGUUUAUUCUGUUUGGAAUUAGUUGAGCUUCCAGGAUCUAUGGGUUGCUGUUUGUGGUCAAAUUUGGCAAAAUUUCAGCUAAGAUUCUCUCAAAUCUUCUUUCUGCCUUAGUCUCCCCUCUCUUUCUCUCCCCCUCCUUUUUCUUCUGGAACUCCAGCUGGACGUAUGUUAGGUUUCUUGAUACUACACUGUAAGUCACUGAGCUUCUAUUCCUUUUCUUUUUGGUCUUUUUUUCUGUGCUUUGGUAUGAAUUAAUUCUCUUGACUUUUGUCAUGCUCCCUGCUCCUGUCUUCUUUUUUCAUCUAUGUCCUGUUAAUUCCAUCAGUUAGUUUUUUAUUUCAUAUUAUAUUUUCUAGUUCUAGAUUUUCCAUUUGGUGCCAAGUAGUAUUCCACUGUAUAUAUACACCACAUCUUCUUUAUCAAUUCAUCUCCUGAUGGACAUUUAGGUCACAUCCAUGCCUGGGCUAUUAUAAAUAGUGCUUCAUGAACACUGAGACGCAAGUAGUUUUUUGAUUAUAGUUUUGUUUGGAUAUAUAUCCAGAAGUUGGAUUGUUGGAUCAUAUGGCAACUCUACUUUUGGUUUUUUGAGAAAUCUCCAUACUGUUUUUCACAGUGGCUACACCAAUUUGUAUUCCCACCCACAGGGUAGAGGAUUCCAUUUUCCCUAUACCCUCUUCAGCAUUUUUUAUUUGUGGAUUUUUUAAUGUUAGCCAUUCUGACCAGUGUGAGGUGGUACCUCACUGUACCACCUAAUUUCUCUAAUAUACCACCUAAUUUCUCUAAUAAUUAGUGAUGUUGAGUAUCUUUUCAUGUGCCUACUGGCCAUCUGUAUGUCUUUUUCGGAGAAAUGUUUAUUGAGGUCUUCUGCCCAUUUUUUGAUGGUUGUUUGGUUUUUGUUAUUGAGUUGUAUGAGUUGUUUGUAUAUUUUAGAAAUUAAUCCCUUGUUGGUCACACUGUUUACAGGUAUUUUAUCCCAGUGUGUACAUUGUCUGUUACGUGUGUGUGUAUAUAUAUAUAUAUACACACACACACACAUAUAGUUUUCUUUUUAUGACUGCAUCUGUGGCAUAUGAAAGUCCCUGGGCUUGGGGUCCAAUUGGAGCUGCAGCUGCUGGCCUAGGCCACAGCCAUAGUAACACCAGAUUUGAGCUGCAUCUGGGACCUAAGCCACUGGGCCUUAACCCACUGAGCGAUGCCAGGGAUUGAACCCACAUCCUCAUGUACAACAUGUUGGGUUCUUAACCUGCUGAGCCACAGAGGAACCCAUAUGUGCGUGUGUAUAUGAUAUAUUUAUUAUAUAUGUAUAUAUAUAUGCACAUAUAUAUUAAAGUAUAGUUGAUUUACAAUGUUGUGCCAAUUUCUGCUGUACAGACUUUUUUCUUUUUUGGCCCCUCCCAUGGCAUGCGGAAGUUCCUGGGCCAGGCAUCAAAUCCAUGCCACAGAAGGGACCUGAUCUGCAGUGGCAACACUGGAUUCCUAACCUGCUGAGUCACAAGAGAACUCCUAUCUUUUCAUUUUGUUGAUGGUUUCCCUUGCUGUGCAAAAGCUUGUAAACUGAUUAGGUCCCAUUUGUUUAUUUUUGCUUUUAUUUCCAUUGCCUUGGGAGGCUGACCUGAGAAAACAUGGUACGAUUUAUGUUGGGCUCCCUCCUAGGAGAUUUACUGCGUCGUAGCUUAUACUGAAGCCAUCCAAAUGGUCCUCUGCCCUUGCAGGUCCCUCCUUCUGAAAUUCCUGUUCCAAAUAACCGCGCGGCUCCUUCCCUCACCUNUCUCUUCCUCGGUUUCACGCCCAGCAUCGAGGACAUGGCUUUACAUAUAGUGAGGGUUUACUGGAUAUGUUUUCCUGAGUAAGUACUAGUUUUCAUUACUCAUGUAUAAAGUAUAAGCUUCUUCAAAGGCAGAGGACGUCUUUUACUCAGCUGUAUCACUAGCACCUCCUAUGGAGGCUAAAACACAGUGGGGACAUAACUACCUACUGAAUUAAUAUCACCAGAUAUUAGACAGCCCUUAAAUACCAAGUGGCCUUCAGAUGCCUUCAUUAGUGGCAUUUAUUACAGAUGUUUUGUGAAGGUAUAUUCCCGAUUUAUAUACUCUUAUCUUUCACUACUAUGGUCGUUUAUCCUUCUAACCAACAUGUAUUCUAAUACAGUGGAAGAAACUGGAAAAUGUGGGCACUAAGGCACUAACAGUGUAAUAAAAUAGUAAUGACACAGCUAAUUUAGGGCAUGGAAAAACAAGCUGGAGACAAAAGAUUCAACAGUAAAGAUAAAAAUGAAGGGAGUAAGCAGAUUAAAGCAGAAAUUUCUAAGUAUCUUGAAUUCUAAGAAGAGAGAUGUUUUACUUUAGACUUUAAGGAACUUGCAUUUAAAAAUGCAAGGAAAGGCGUUCCCGUUGUGGCUCCGUGGUUAACGAAUCUGACUAGGAACCAUGAGGUUGCAGGUUUGAUCCCUGGCCUUGCUCAGUGGGUUAAGGAUCCGGCGUUGCUGUGAGCUGUGGUGUAGGUUGCAGAUGCGGCUAGGACCCCANNNNNNNNNNNNNNNNNNNNNNNNNNNNNNNNNNNNNNNNNNNNNNNNNNNNNNNNNNNNNNNNNNNNNNNNNNNNNNNNNNNNNNNNNNNNNNNNNNNNAAAAAAAAAAAAAAAAAAAAAAAAAAAAAGCAAGGAAAAUCAUUAAAAUAACAGAAAUAAGCUGUGUGAAUUCCAAACCAUGGGAGGAAGAGAAAAGAGGGAAAUGAGAUGAAUCCAAUGGAAAGGUGGGGGGAGAACAUUAGAUAAAAGAAGAGGGCAACCAUAUACCCAAAUGUCAGCAAUCACGAUCAAUAAUUACAGGGGUCUGGAGGAAACUCGAGAUAAGCUGGUCAAGGAAGGUUCUUCUGAGGUACUGACAUUUUAUAAUAACAGCAGUCACUGCUACAGAGCCUAAUUACACGCCCGGCACUGAGUGCUUCACACCCAGUGAUUCAUUUCAUCCUCACAACAACCUCAUAGAUAUUAACACUCCAUUCAGUUUCUUCAGCUGAAGAAAGUGGGUUACAGAGAAGUAACGUGCUGCAGGCGAUGGAGCCAGAAGGCAUUAGAGCCAGGAUUUGAAUCGAGAAUCCAUGCUAUUAACUGGCUGGCCCUACUCCUGGAAGACACUGGCUGACACCAGGAGGAUGCGAAGGAGCCAGAGGUGUGGAUGGGGCUGAGGGAGAGUGAGAUGUUGCUGGCAGUGGGAAAAGCAAGUCCUGAAGUGGGAAAAACUCGGCCCCUUCAAAGAAGAGUAGCGAGGUCACCGUGGCUGAAGGGCAGUGAACGUGGACAGUGUGGUAGGAGAAUGAAUUUGGGAGGCAGUGCAGGCCUUAUCAAGGUCUUGAUUGCUUACUAUGUGUCAGAGGCUGGGCUUACCUUAUAAAAUUUCUUAAUGCAACAGUCCUGUGAUAGGCAGCAUCUUCCUCCCCAUUGUGUAGAUGUGGACAUUGAGGCUGAACAGACUAAGCACAUUUGCCUCGGAUACACGGCUAUCAGGCAGAGAACCAGAAUUCAAACCAGGUGGGUCUGACUCCAAAAACCAGUCUUGCAGCCAUAGCCACACAUGACAUCAUGUUAAGUUAAAUAUAAUCUACUCAAGAAUAGGAGUUCCCGCUGUGGCUCGGUGGUUAACGAAUCCGACUAGGAACCAUGAGGUUGUGGGUUUGAUCCCUGCCCUUGCUCAGUGGGUUAAGGAUCUGGCGUUGCUGUGAGCUGUGGUGUAGGUUGCAGAUGCGGGUCGGAUCCCGCAUUGCUGUGGCUCUGGUGUAGGCUGGUGGCUACAGCUCCGAUUGGACCCCUAGCCUGGGAACCCCCAUAUGCCACGGGAGCGGCCCAAAAAAUAACAAAAAGACCAAAAAAAAAAAAAAAGGAUACCCUCUACCUUCCUAGAAAAGCACCUGCUAUGAGCAUACAGGUUUCUGAGAGAUUUGGUUGAGGAACGCAACUGGGAAAGAAAUGUGUGGGACCUCAGAUCAGGACCACGUUGUCUCUGGGCUUGGUUUUGAGCAGUGAAGCCAAGGUUUCUUAUUUGUUUCUUGUCUAGCAAUUUUUUUUAGGGCCACACCUGUGGCAUAUGGAGGUUCCCAGGCUAGGGGGUCCAAUGGGAGCCAUGGCAACGCAGGAUCUGAGCCAUGUCUGUAAUCUGCACUACAGCUCAUGGCAACGCCAGAUCCUUAAGCCAUGGAUGGAGGCCAGGGAUCGAACCCAAAACCUCAUGGUUCCUAGUCCAAUGUGUUUCCACUGUGUCACGACAGGAACUCCCUAUUUCUUGACUAGCCUUUGGUUUUGUUUGUUUUGUUUUUGGCCACAUCCACGGCAUAUGGAAGUUUCCAGGCCAGGGACUGAACCCGAGCUGGCAGGUUCCUUAGCAAUGCCAGUGACAACGCCAGACCCUUAACCUGCUGUGCCACAAGCGAACUCCUAGCUUUUGGUUCUGAAACAAAAUGUGUUUCAGACACAAAUAUCCAUGUGUUAGCUUUCAUUUAUUGCUGCUGAAGAACGUUUCUUUCAGGGCCUCAGGUGAGCCCAGGUAUCCAUGUAAGCUUGUAUGUUCUAUCACUACGUCAGGCAGCUAAGUGUCGUCUGAUGACCUUGGGUCCUGGGACGCUGAAGAGCCAAAUGUAACAAAUAGAGAAAGAGGUGGUUCCCAGGUAAUUAAUCAUGACCCAUGCCCCAGGGAUGCAGAGGGGAGGAAAGAGGACAGCAGAAUCAUCUUGUUCUGGAAAAGCUUAUUCUUGGAGGAGCUGAGCCUGGGGUAAGACACAGGGAAGAAGGUCUGCUUCUGCGCAUGGUGUUUUUCCAGGGGUUUUUGUCUUGACUUCUUCCCUCUUUCCCUUUCUCUCUGCUUAGACAAAGAUCAGCAGAAACACUGAUAGAUAAUCAGCUAGGCAUGACUGGAAACAGGUGACAUCAGGGUCCUUGGACGUGCUUGAUAAGGCGCAAACUACAGUGGCCUCUUCAGGGAGGAGGCAGGCCCUGAUCUGUCCCAAUCUUCAGGUCACAGGGUCCAAGUGUGGUCCGGAAUGCCAGCUCCAGCUUCCCUGCUUUACUUUGAACAUGAGUAGACACACACGCCCGCUGAAAAAUACCUUAUUUGCACACGCUGGACCACGUGUAGACAAGUCAGAUGGCUUUGUCACUUCAGAGCCUUCACUGCGGUCACGUACAGAGAGUCUCCGAAACAGAGCAAGAGGGUAUGGGAUGUUUUCCAAGUGACUGGAUCACAGAACCAAAGGCUGCUGUGUCAUACAGCGGACGUCAGGCCAUUAAAAGCUACGCACACACCUUCACAGGUCCCAGGGUCCCCAGAGAAUGAAAGCUCUUAACUCCUUAACAGAACACACAAGAGCGCUUCACACCUGGCCCCUUCUGCCUUGUAAACCCCACCACUCCUUCUUCCUAUCAGCUCCACUCCGAUGCUUCCAGAGGGUCAGGGGCCAGAUGCACAGGGUGCUCUCUCUGCUGAAAUCCCGUCCUCCUCCCCUUCCAGUCCACCUUUCCCAAGUCCUUCCAGACCUUGUGCGCGUAACGCCUCGCUGAAGGCGUCUCUCGUCGUUCUCACUCAUGUAGCUGUGCCCUCCUCUGUCCGUUCACAGCACUUUGGUUUUGUCUGUAGUGCAGCACUUUUCUCAGUGGAUCUCAAUUAGCUAUUGACUGACGGACUGAUUUCCUUCUAAUCUGGGCUCCUGAAGGCCAGGAACGUAUCCCUGACAUCCCCAGUGAGAGGCAUCCUGCAGGCACUCAGCAAGAGCCUACAUCUUCGCUCUCUUCUGCUGGGGCCUCCAUACUCCUCAACAAAGCUUUUCUGGACCCACAAGAGGGAAGAUCAGAGUUACGCUUUUUUUUCUAGCACAAUUAACAAGAGGGAUACUUGUGUGUUUAUGCCCACCGGACCUCCCAAGGACAGCAAUCAUAGAAGCCUCUGCGUAUUGCACGGCCCCCACACAAAGCUAAGUCCUCAUGCGCAGAUAUCAAUUCAAUCCUCCUUUUUGCAGUCAGGUAUAGUCAUGAGCCACCCUCAGACGUAGCCAUAAUAAAGCCUAUUUUUCUAACAGCUCAAAGUAUUGGAAAAUACGGUUCCUCCAAUUUUGAUAAAGUCCCUGUAGAUUUGGGAGCAGAAAACAUUUUAUUCGUGUCUACUCAUAACAGGGAAUUCCAAUAAGACUCAAGGUUAUUCAAAGACCAAAACUAAUGGUUCUAAGCCAUGAUUCUUCUACUCACAGUGAGUUUUGUGCUUCUCAGAUCCUCCAGACUAAUGUUUUUCAAAAAAUACAUUUAAUAGAACUUUGGUCUGACUUUAGAAAUAAGCUUCCAGAGCAGGACAUAGGUCCUUCAAGGAAUCCUACAUUUCCACAUGAAGUAGGAAUAAGAUACAGCAUUCACUGACUGAAACACGGAACCACAAGUAAGACCACAGCGAGAAGCAAAGAAAUCCCCUUCCUCUUCUUUGCCUCACACCAAAAGGGCUCUGAGCCAUCAACUACUCUUUUUCUUUUCUUUUCUUUUGCGU
rnacentral:lncRNA from 1 species